rnacentral:lncRNA from 1 species
GAAACUUUUGAGCUGACCUAAUUGAUGCGACUUUUUUUGCCUAGUUUACGUUUCUAACUCUUUAAUCUUGCAACUUUUGACACAAAUGUAAUUAGCAAUUAACCGACUAUUUACGUAGUGUGCUCUUGGAAAUACUUUGAUCCACGUGUUUCGAAUGAAGUAGUCGAACACUUGAACUACUUGUUUCGUUUGUGAUGCGUUGAUGAAAUAGCC